rnacentral:pre_miRNA from 1 species
AAGGUACUCCCUCCGAUCCAUAUUACUUGUCGCUCAAACGGAUGUAUCUAGACAUAUUUUAGUGCUACAUACAUCCAUUUGAGCGACAAGUAAUAUGGAUCGGAGGGAGUAGUAC